UACGUAGGGGGCUAGCGUUGUCCGGAUUUAUUGGGCGUAAAGAGCGUGUAGGCGGCCAGGUAGGUCUGGUGUGAAAACUCGAGGCUUAACCUCGAGAUGUCAUCGGAAACCAUUUGGCUAGAGUCCGGAAGAGGAGAGUGGAAUUCCUGGUGUAGCGGUGAAAUGCGCAGAUAUCAGGAAGAACACAAAUGGCGAAAGCAGCUCUCUGGGACGGUACUGACGCUGAGACGCGAAAGCGUGGGGAGCGAACAGG
rnacentral:rRNA from 1 species